rnacentral:SRP_RNA from 1 species
GCCAAGUAGGGUGGGGUGUGCCUAUAGUCCCAGCUGCUUGGGAGGCCAAGGUGGGAAGGAUUGCUUGAGCCUAGGAGUUCUGGGCUGUAGUGUGCUGUGCCCAUCAGGUGACACCCAUUGGGUGUCCGAACUAAGUUCAGCAUCAGAAGCAGGGACCACCAGGCUGCCUAAGGAGGAAUGAACAGCCUGCUUUGGAAACAGAGCAGCAGAAACUCCCAUGCUCAUUAGUGAGGGAAUCACACCUGUGAAUAGCCACGUCUACCUGGGCAACACAGACCCUGUCUCU